rnacentral:lncRNA from 1 species
AUCACUCUCUUUUUCUCUAAUAUUAUUUUUAUUGUUGAUGGAGUAUAUAGUAAUGAGCAAGUGUACUAUGCUCCAAUGGGAGUAUAUUGUGCAUCACUCCCUCGCCCAAAAUACCUAUUUAGGACGAUUUUAAGUCCAAAAUUUUGGGAACCAUAUAAGAAUAAUUAGAUGAUUAUUUUAAAAAUAAAAUAUUCGAAUUUUGAGUUUUAGAAUAUAUAAAUUUAGCAUUACAAAUAUUGGACGGUCACAAUUCAAUUUUGAGGUACUAUUUUUUUCUAUAACAUCGACAGUUUCUUUAGGAACAUUUUUUAAUUGAGGUUAGUAUAGGGGUUUUUGAGAUUACAUCCCCAAAAUUUGAGAUCCAAAAAGUAUCCGUAGCAUGUGUUUUGCCCGAAGGAACAAAUAGAUAGCAG